GAUGAACGCUGGCGGCGUGCCUAAUACAUGCAAGUCGAGCGAACGGACGAGAAGCUUGCUUCUCUGAUGUUAGCGGCGGACGGGUGAGUAACACGUGGAUAACCUACCUAUAAGACUGGGAUAACUUCGGGAAACCGGAGCUAAUACCGGAUAAUAUUUUGAACCGCAUGAUUCAAAAGUGAAAGACGGUCUUGCUGUCACUUAUAGAUGGAUCCGCGCUGCAUUAGCUAGUUGGUAAGGUAACGGCUUACCAAGGCAACGAUGCAUAGCCGACCUGAGAGGGUGAUCGGCCACACUGGAACUGAGACACGGUCCAGACUCCUACGGGAGGCAGCAGUAGGGAAUCUUCCGCAAUGGGCGAAAGCCUGACGGAGCAACGCCGCGUGAGUGAUGAAGGUCUUCGGAUCGUAAAACUCUGUUAUUAGGGAAAACAUAUGUGUAAGUAACUGUGCACAUCUUGACGGUACCUAAUCAGAAAGCCACGGCUAACUACGUG
rnacentral:rRNA from 1 species